GUGCUCGAUUCAGCAGCACAUAUACUAAAAUUGGAAUGCUACAGAGAAGAUUAGCAUGGCUCUUGAGCAAGGAUGACAAAUUUAUAAAGUGUCACAUAUUUUA
ensembl:snRNA U6 U6 spliceosomal RNA